rnacentral:misc_RNA from 1 species
UCUCUGUAGGGGAACCUGCAGAGGGAUCAAUAACGAAUGAAUGGGGGAGGGGAGGGAGGAGAGUCCGGUAAGGAUUCGAUUCUCUCUUUUUCCUGGUAGAUGUGGAGAGGAGAAAUUUUCUCCUUUCUCAUCUCAUUGACCCGAGGGGGAGGGGGGGAAGGAUUUUCCCUUCUCUUCCUUGGUGCCAUUGUCGGGAGACGAUGGCUGAAAACCAAACGAAAAUCAUUAGAGACAAAAAAAACCCCUAACAACGGAUCUCUUGGCUCUU